GUGAAUCAUCAAAUCUUUGAACGCAAAUUGCGCUUACUGUCAUCCCGAGUAGUAUGCCUGUUUGAGGGUCAGUAUUAACGCAAAAAUCGGUUUGGUUGCAAAUUGUGAAGUAUCCGGAGUUUGGGCUAUCUUAACUUUUUUGGUUAAGGGGCUUAAAAUUGACCUUUUUUGCGCAUUUUUAGACGUAUAUAAAUUUUUUUUUAUUCGUCUAUUCUUAAUGCCAAAAUCUUAUUAGAUGUGCUCACAUCGUAUGGCUUCGUGUCCACAAAAUUUUCAUGAUUUGACU
rnacentral:misc_RNA from 1 species